rnacentral:lncRNA from 1 species
AUGACAAUGAGGAGAAGGAACAACAGUCAUGGCAAAAAGGACCACAGCCAUAUUCAGCCUAUUUAUUGCAUGAAUUUGGCCCUAUGUGUAGCCAAGGACAAGGCCAUUAAGAAGCUCAUCAUCCAAAAUACAGCAGAGACUGCAGCCAUCAGGACAUGCAUGAAUCAUGUAUCUUCAAGGCUUUUGUGCCUCCCAAGCUGUAUGUGAAACAACAUUACUACAUGAGUAGUGCCAUUCAUAGCAAGUAGUCAGGAAUCACUGUGAUGCCUAGAAGGACCAAACACCCUCACCCCAAUUUAGAGCCAAGGCACUACACCCCUGACCUCUGCCAAAGUCCCU